rnacentral:rRNA from 1 species
ACCUCAAGUCAUGUGAGAGUACCCGCUGAACUUAAGCAUAUCAAUAAGCGGAGGAAAAGAAACUAACAAGGAUUCCCCUAGUAACGGCGAGUGAAGCGGGAAGAGCACAAAUUUUAAAUCUACCUUGGUUUUCCAGGUCGAGUUGUAAUUUGAAGAAACGUUUUUUACGUUCCGGGUUGGAUUAAAUCCUUUGGGAUAAGGUAUCAUGGAGGGUGAGAAUCCCGUGUAUACCAACCACUGGAAUGUUAUUAAUACGAUUUCUAAGAGUCGAGUUGUUUGGGAAUGCAGCUCUAAAUGGGUGGUAAAUUUCACCUAAUGCUAAAUAUAAGCGAGAGACCGAUAGUGAACAAGUACCGUGAGGGAAAGAUGAAAAGAACUUUGAAAAGAGAGUUAAAUAGUACGUGAAAUUGUUGAAAGGGAAACGGUUGAAGUCAGUCAUGCCGGCGGGAAUCAACUUAGGGGAAACUCUAGGUGCACUUCUUCGCUUGGCAGGUUAGCGUCGAUUUUGGAUGUCAUAAAAUGACUAGGGGAAGGUAGCUCUUUCGGGAGUGUUAAGCCCUUAGUAGAUGUGAUGUUCGGGAUCGAGGAUUGCAACGGAUACCCUUUGGGCUAGCCGCCUGGUCUCUAAUACGAAGUUGGGUUAUGGAUAGCAUGCUAACUAUGAUCUGAUUUUCGGUUAAAAGAUUAGAGUGAGUGUAAAUUCGUUAAGGACGCUGACGUAAUGGCUUUAAACGACCCGUCUUGAAACACGGACCAAGGAGUCUAACAUAUGUGCGAGUGUUU